CUGACAUUGGGACAGUGUAUCUCCUUCUCCAUCACCACUCUCCCACGGUUUGAGAAAGGGACAUCUGUCUAAAUGGAGAUCAAGGACAAUUGAAAGGGGAAGAAAACAGGAAGUUACCACCGAAAGACACUGAAGACCAUAUAAAUUAGGAUUACUUUAUAGUAUGGCAGCCGAUAAAGGAUUAAAAACAAAGCAUCAAAAAUGACCUCAGACCAAGAAAUAAAGAGCAAGAGUCAGAGGAAAUCCAAAGCAACUCCAUUUCCCUGAUGCAAACUUCAUCCCUUUCUGAAUGGCCUCCUCUCACUUGUUUCCUGACCUCAGCACUAACCUCAUACAACAAAGGAGACUUCUCUUCUGAUUCUUUUGUUUCUAUUAUUCCCGCCCUUCCCACACUAAAUAAGGAAUUGCAGAAACAAUGGAGGGUGACUUCAGAAGGUAGGUUAUAAAAAGGCACCAUGGCUUCUGCCUUGCUCUCAUGUCACUGCCUCUGGGGAAAACCAGCUGCCAGGUUGUGAGGACACUGAAGCAGUCCUAGGGACAGGCUCUCAUGGGAAGGAACUGGGGCCUUUUGCCAACAA
rnacentral:lncRNA from 1 species